AAGACCUUGCGCUUUUGGAGCGGCCGAUGCCUGAUUAGCUUGUUGGUAAGGUAAAAGCUUACCAAGACUUCGAUCAGUAGCUGGUCUGAGAGGACGACCAGCCACACUGGGACUGAGACACGGCCCAGACUCCUACGGGAGGCAGCAGUGGGGAAUUUUGGACAAUGGGGGCAACCCUGAUCCAGCCAUGCCGCGUGAGUGAAGAAGGCCUUCGGGUUGUAAAGCUCUUUCAGCCGGAACGAAACGGUUACGGAUAACACCCGUGACUACUGACGGUACCGGAAGAAGAAGCACCGGCUAACUACGUGCCAGCAGCCGCGGUAAUACGUAGGGUGCGAGCGUUAAUCGGAAUUACUGGGCGUAAAGCGUGCGCAGGUGGUUUUGUAAGUCAGAUGUGAAAGCCCCGGGCUCAACCUGGGAACU
rnacentral:rRNA from 1 species